CCAGAUUAUCGGCUAAUCGCGUGGGCGCAAGUUCACGAGGAAAGUCCGGGCAGCAUAGGGAAGGACAGUCGCUAACGGCGACCGGGCGCGAGCCUAGGGAAAGUGCCACAGAAACUAUACCGCCCGCGCAAGCGGGUAAGGGCGAAAUGAGUAGGGUAAGAGCCUACAGUUCUGCCGGGUGACCGGUGGAAGCGGUAAACCCUGUCUGCUGCAAGGAGAUGGAUUGUUUGAGUCUAAAGCUCAAAACGUCCCGUUAAUAAUUCAUCGUAAGAACCGCUUGAGCCUAUGAGUAAUUUUAGGCCUAGAUAGAUGAUUAGCCCCUGGCAACAGGGACAAAACCCGGCUUACAGAUAAUCUGGCACU
rnacentral:RNase_P_RNA from 1 species